UACGUAGGUGGCAAGCGUUGUCCGGAUUUAUUGGGCGUAAAGGGUACGUAGGCGGUUAGAAAAGUUAGAAGUGAAAGGCUAUAGCUCAACUAUAGUAAGCUUUUAAAACUGCUCAUCUUGAGGUAUGAAAGGGAAAGUGGAAUUCCUAGUGUAGCGGUGAAAUGCGCAGAUAUUAGGAGGAAUACCGGUGGCGAAGGCGACUUUCUGGCCAUAAACUGACGCUGAGGUACGAAAGCGUGGGUAGCAAACAGG
rnacentral:rRNA from 1 species